GUCAAUGUCUUGUGUGAAUGGU
rnacentral:siRNA from 1 species